UGGAAAGAAUUUCGGUCAAGGAUGAGCUCGCGGCCUAUCAGCUUGUUGGUGAGGUAAUGGCUCACCAAGGCGACGACGGGUAGCCGGCCUGAGAGGGUGACCGGCCACACUGGGACUGAGACACGGCCCAGACUCCUACGGGAGGCAGCAGUGGGGAAUAUUGCACAAUGGGCGCAAGCCUGAUGCAGCAACGCCGCGUGAGGGAUGAAGGCCUUCGGGUUGUAAACCUCUUUUAGCAGGGAAGAAGCGAAAGUGACGGUACCUGCAGAAAAAGCACCGGCUAACUACGUGCCAGCAGCCGCGGUAAUACGCAGGGUGCAAGCGUUGUCCGGAAUUAUUGGGCGUAAAGAGCUCGUAGGUCGUUAAUCACGUCGGAUGUGAAAAUCUGAGGCUCAACCUCAGACCUGCAUUCGAUACGGGUUAACUAGAGUGUGGUAGGGGAGACUGGAAUUCCUGGUGUAGCGGUGGAAUGCGCAGAUAUCAGGAGGAACACCAAUGGCGAAGGCAGGUCUCUGGGCCAUUACUGACACUGAGGAGCGAAAGUUCGGGGAGCGAACAGGAUUAGAUACCCUGGUAGUCC
rnacentral:rRNA from 1 species